GAGACGGAGUUUUGCUCUUGUUGCCCAGGCUGGAGUGCAGUGGCGCAAUCUUGGCUCACCGCAACCUCCGCCUCCCAGGUUCAAGCGAUUCUCCUGCCUCAGCCUCCCCAGUAGCUGGGAUUACAGGCACGCGCCACCACACCCGGCUAAUUUUUGUAUUUUUAGUAGAGACAGGGUUUGUCCCUAUUGGUCAGGCUGGUCUCGAACUCCCGACCUCAGGUGAUCCACCCGCCUCAGCCUCCCAAAGUGCUGGGAUUACAGACGUGAGCCACUGCACCCGGCCAUCAUACAGAAUAUUAAAAGAACAUGUAUUCAGGGGCUGAGAUUUAAAAAGAUGCACAUCUGUUCUGCUUCACCCAGGGCAUUUUUAAGUGAUGCUGACUCCUUUUUCUGUAAGUUGGUGGUGAUGAAGAACACACUGACAAAGGUACAGUUUGGUGCUACUGCCUCAAUUUACCCACCGUUACCUUUGCACCAUCUACGUACAUGUCAGCACAGUGUAGAGGAGAAAAAUGUCUCAGAAUUAUAAUGAAAAUAGCUGUGACAUAUGGGACCCCCUGAAGGAGUGUUGGAGAACCUAAGAGGUCUGCAGAACACACUUGCAGAACUGCUGUGCUAUGGAGUGAAAGAAGUCUCAGACAAAGCGUGCAUCUGUUGUUAUUCCAUUUAUAUGCAAUUCUAAAACACACAAAACUAUGAGAACCACUGUUCUAACUUUUUUCUAUGGUGGAAAAAAAAUAGAAUAAUUGUUGCCUCCUGGGGAAAGGAGGCUGAAAGGCUUGACUGGAGACGAGUUAAGGGGGAUUUUCUAAGCCAAUGGUAAGGUCCUCUGUCCUGACAGGAGUCUGGGUUACACAGGUGCAUGCCCUGACCAAAGCUCAGUGAAUGUACCCUUAAGACUUCUGCAUUUCAUUGCAUGUACAUUUCACAUCAAAAGAAAAACACUGUAAAUAAAUAUGGAAAUCUAGUUAAUGAUAUACAUACUUAAAUAUGUAGGAGGAAGUAUACCAGUGAAUCCAGGUUUCUCUGAAAUGUAUCAGAAAAUAAGAUGGAUUCCAGCAGGGGUUCUCAGCUUCAGCACUGCUGCAAUCUGGGGCUAGCUGAUUCUCUGUGGUGGGGGCUUGCCAUGUGGAAUGCAGGCUGUGACCAGCGUCCCUGGCCUCUACCCACACCAGAUGUCAGUAGUACCCUAUCCCAGCUGUAACAACUAAAACUGUCUCCAAACACUGUCAGAUAUUCCUGGGGGGCAAAAUCACCCCAAGCUGAGGACUGCUGAAUUAGAGGGAAUAAUGAAUGAGUAUGUGAGAAAGCAAACAUAACAAAGUGUGAAAGGGAUAAACAAGAUGAUGGGCAUACAGGUACUCACGAGAAAAUUCUUUCAGUUUUACUGAAUGUUUGAAAUUUUUCAUAUUAAAACAUUGGGUUAAGAAAGGCUAUUGUGUAUUAAGUAACGUUUUUUGCACUUAAUAUUAUAUUGUAAAGUUUAGCCAUAGGAUUAUAUGUCAUUACAAUUUGUCGAUUUGGGGGUAUUGUUUUUAAAAUUUUUGAAAAUUUUGUGUGAAAAACUCUAUUGUUUAUCCACUCUCAAUAUGCAACAUUUGGGUUGUUUCAAGGUUUUGCUGUGGUGCUGCUAUGAAUAUUCUUGUACAAGUAAUCUGUAAUUCAACCUCAGGCUCAUUUAUUGAUUUUGCUUCCCUUCUGUCGUAUUUUAAUAAGGCUGCUCUAUUUUGAGAUUAGAUAAAAAUUCACCUAUAUUUUCUUCUAGUUCUUUCAGAGUUUCAUUUUCUACAAUUAAUUGUGUAAGCCUCUAGAGUAUACGUUAGUGUUUUUGUUUGUUUGUUUGUUUUUGAGAUGGAGUCUCACUCUAGUCACCCAGGCUGGAGGGCAAUGGUACGAUCUCGACACACUGCAACCUCCGCCUCCCGGGUUUAAGCGAUUCUCCUGCCUCAGCCUCCCAAGUAGCUGAGAUUACAGACACCCACCACCACACCUGGCUAAUUUUUGUAUUUUUAGUAGAGACGGGGUUUUACCAUGUUGGCCAGGCUGAGGCAGGAGAUGGUUUGAACAGGGGAAGCGAAGGUUACAGUGAGCUGAGAUCAUGCCAUUGCACUCCAGCCUGGGUGAGAACAGUGAAACUCCAUCUCAAAAAAAAAAGCAGGAAGAACAGAAUUUUUUUUUUUUUUUUUUUUUUACUUCAAACUUCAGAGAAAGGCCACUUCUGACUGAAGGGCCACCACGCUUGUUAGAAAUAUUGCUGAGUGUUUUCAGCAUGUGAGAAACUCUUUCCAAAGUUUUGCUCAUUUAUUCCCUUCUUUCUUUGGGUUGACCUCACAAGUUUUGUUGGUGACAUUAGCUCCCCUGUUUGCCGUUACUGUUGAUGCUCUUUCAGAAAUAUUUGGAUAUAGGCUACACACUUUCUUAAGAUUGGAGAGGG
rnacentral:lncRNA from 10 species